GCUACACAUGCAGUCGAGCGCACCUUCGGGUGAGCGGCGGACGGGUUAGUAACGCGUGGGAACAUACCCUUUUCUACGGAAUAGCCUCGGGAAACUGAGAGUAAUACCGUAUAAGCCCUUCGGGGGAAAGAUUUAUCGGGAAAGGAUUGGCCCGCGUUAGAUUAGAUAGUUGGUGGGGUAAUGGCCUACCAAGUCUACGAUCUAUAGCUGGUUUUAGAGGAUGAUCAGCAACACUGGGACUGAGACACGGCCCAGACUCCUACGGGAGGCAGCAGUGGGGAAUCUUAGACAAUGGGCGCAAGCCUGAUCUAGCCAUGCCGCGUGUGUGAUGAAGGUCUUAGGAUCGUAAAGCACUUUCGCCAGGGAUGAUAAUGACAGUACCUGGUAAAGAAACCCCGGCUAACUCCGUGCCAGCAGCCGCGGUAAUACGGAGGGGGUUAGCGUUGUUCGGAAUUACUGGGCGUAAAGCGUACGUAGGCGGAUUGGAAAGUUGGGGGUGAAAUCCCAGGGCUCAACCCUGGAACUGCCUCCAAAACUAUCAGUCUAGAGUUCGAGAGAGGUGAGUGGAAUUCCAAGUGUAGAGGUGAAAUUCGUAGAUAUUUGGAGGAACACCAGUGGCGAAGGCGGCUCACUGGCUCGAUACUGACGCUGAGGUACGAAAGUGUGGGGAGCAAACAGGAUUAGAUACCCUGGUAGUCCACACCGUAAAC
rnacentral:rRNA from 1 species